rnacentral:rRNA from 1 species
AGUGAACGCUGGCGGUAGGCCUAACACAUGCAAGUCGAACGGCAGCACAGUAGGAGCUUGCUCUUACGGGUGGCGAGUGGCGGACGGGUGAGGAAUACAUCGGAAUCUACUUUUUCGUGGGGGAUAACGUAGGGAAACUUACGCUAAUACCGCAUACGACCUACGGGUGAAGGCAGGGGAUCUUCGGACCUUGCGCGAUUGAAUGAGCCGAUGUCGGAUUAGCUAGUUGGCGGGGUAAAGGCCCACCAAGGCGACGAUCCGUAGCUGGUCUGAGAGGAUGAUCAGCCACACUGGAACUGAGACACGGUCCAGACUCCUACGGGAGGCAGCAGUGGGGAAUAUUGGACAAUGGGCGCAAGCCUGAUCCAGCCAUACCGCGUGGGUGAAGAAGGCCUUCGGGUUGUAAAGCCCUUUUGUUGGGAAAGAAAAGCAGCAGGUUAAUACCCCGCUGUUCUGACGGUACCCAAAGAAUAAGCACCGGCUAACUUCGUG